AACUUCAUGUUACAUGACGUCAUGUUUUGCAUGUGACGUAACAAUGGCGUUAUGACUUUCGUAUGACGUCCUGUCAUGGUUACCGGUACCCCUAGGCAUCCUCAGAGAGCAAAUGGAGGAUAAGAAUACAGAAAAAAGGUCGGAGGGACCUAUGUCAGAUGGGGAAUAUAUCAGAGAGACAGACUACAAAGAAUUCGACCCAGAAGGCGAUGUUAACGAAGUCCAAAAUGGCUGUCAACUUAUUAGCGAGAUGUUGCGACAGGAAUAUUUGAAAGACUACAAGCUACAGCCCUCUUCGGUCGCAACGAACAACGUGGUAUGUUGAAUACGCUUCGAGUCUCUAUU